UGGGGAAUUUUGGACAAUGGGGGCAACCCUGAUCCAGCAAUGCCGCGUGAGUGAAGAAGGCCUUCGGGUUGUAAAGCUCUUUUGUCAGGGAAGAAACGGUAGUAGCGAAUAACUAUUACUAAUGACGGUACCUGAAGAAUAAGCACCGGCUAACUACGUGCCAGCAGCCGCGGUAAUACGUAGGGUGCAAGCGUUAAUCGGAAUUACUGGGCGUAAAGCGUGCGCAGGCGGUUGUGUAAGUCAGAUGUGAAAUCCCCGGGCUCAACCUGGGAAUUGCAUUUGAGACUGCACGGCUAGAGUGUGUCAGAGGGGGGUAGAAUUCCACGUGUAGCAGUGAAAUGCGUAGAUAUGUGGAGGAACACCGAUGGCGAAGGCAGCCCCCUGGGUUAACACUGACGCUCAUGCACGAAAGCGUGGGGAGCAAACAGGAUUAGAUACCCGAGUAGUCCCUGAGCGGGCUGGCAAGGCGCAU
rnacentral:rRNA from 1 species